rnacentral:rRNA from 1 species
UACGUAGGGGGCAAGCGUUGUCCGGAAUUAUUGGGCGUAAAGGGCGCGUAGGCGGUGCGGUAAGUCACCUGUGAAACCUCUAGGCUCAACCUCGAGCCUGCAGGCGAAACUGCCGUGCUUGAGGGUGGGAGAGGUGCGUGGAAUUCCCGGUGUAGCGGUGAAAUGCGCAGAUAUCAGGAGGAACACCAAUAGCGAAGGCAGCUCGCUGGGACGGUACUGACGCUAAGGCGCGAAAGCGUGGGGAGCGAACAGG